rnacentral:rRNA from 1 species
CGACAGUCAGGCAACGAGCGAGACCCCUGCGUCUAGUUGCUACCAUUACUCUCUGGAGCAGUGGAGCGAAUUAGACGGACCGCCACAGUUAAUGUGGAGGAAGGAAGGGGCCACGGCAGGUCAGUAUGCCCCGAAACCCUAGGGCUACACGCGGGCUGCAAUGGUAUUGACAAUGUGUUCCGAAUCCGAAAGGAGGAGGCAAUCAUCAAACAAUAUCUCAGUUAUGACUGAGGGCUGUAACUCGCCCUCACGAAUAUGGAAUCCCUAGUAACCGCGCGUCACUACCGCGCGGUGAAUACGUCCCUGCUCCUUGCACGAAUUCGCCG